rnacentral:rRNA from 1 species
AUUGAACGCUGGCGGAAUGCUUUACACAUGCAAGUCGAACGGUAGAGGGGGCAACCCCUCGAGAGUGGCGAACGGGUGAGUAAUAUAUCGGAACGUGCCCAGUCGUGGGGGAUAACGUAGCGAAAGUUACGCUAAUACCGCAUACGAUCUAAGGAUGAAAGCGGGGGAUCGCAAGACCUCGCUCGAUUGGAGCGGGCGAUAUCAGAUUAGGUAUUUGGUGGGGUAAAGGCUCACCAAGCCAACGAUCUGUAGCUGGUCUGAGAGGACGACCAGCCACACUGGAACUGAGACACGGUCCAGACUCCUACGGGAGGCAGCAGUGGGGAAUUUUGGACAAUGGACGCAAGUCUGAUCCAGCCAUUCCGCGUGCAGGAUGAAGGCCCUCGGGUUGUAAACUGCUUUUGUACGGAACGAUAAGGUCUCUCUUAAUACGGGGGACUCAUGACGGUACCGUAAGAAUAAGCACCGGCUAACUACGUGCCAGCAGCCGCAGUAAGAC